AGGGUUCUAGCUCAAUUGAAGAGCACCUACCUUACAAGCAAUAGGUUGGUGGUUUGAUUCCUCCUUUCCCUA
rfam:Picea glauca, whole genome shotgun sequence.